AUUUAAAAAAGGAAGCAUUGGGCGCCCAGAUAGCUCAGUUGGUAGAGCAGGCGUCCAUAUAUAGGAGGUUUAUUCCUCGACACAGCGGGCCCGAGUUUGACUCUGGCCAUUUGCUGAGUGUCAUUCCCCCCUCUCUCUCUCUUUUCA